rnacentral:rRNA from 1 species
GAUGGGAGGGGGAUAACUACUGGAAACGGUAGCUAAUACCGCAUAACGUCGCAAGACCAAAGUGGGGGACCUUCGGGCCUCAUGCCAUCAGAUGUGCCCAGAUGGGAUUAGCUGGUAGGUGGGGUAACGGCUCACCUAGGCGACGAUCCCUAGCUGGUCUGAGAGGAUGACCAGCCACACUGGAACUGAGACACGGUCCAGACUCCUACGGGAGGCAGCAGUGGGGAAUAUUGCACAAUGGGCGCAAGCCUGAUGCAGCCAUGCCGCGUGUGUGAAGAAGGCCUUCGGGUUGUAAAGCACUUUCAGCGGGGAGGAAGGCGGUGAGGUUAAUAACCUUGUCGAUUGACGUUACCCGCAGAAGAAGCACCGGCUAACUCCGUGCCAGCAGCCGCGGUAAUACGGAGGGUGCAAGCGUUAAUCGGAAUUACUGGGCGUAAAGCGCACGCAGGCGGUCUGUCAAGUCGGAUGUGAAAUCCCCGGGCUCAACCUGGGAACUGCAUUCGAAACUGGCAGGCUAGAGUCUUGUAGAGGGGGGUAGAAUUCCGGGUGUAGCGGUGAAAUGCGUAGAGAUCUGGAGGAAUACCGGUGGGCGAA